rnacentral:rRNA from 1 species
AGUGUAGGCGGCUAUUCAAGUCGGAUGUGAAAGCCCCGGGCUCAACCUGGGAAUUGCAUUCGAAACUGAAUAGCUAGAGUUUGGUAGAGGUAAGUGGAAUUCCGGGUGUAGCGGUGAAAUGCGUAGAUAUCCGGAGGAACAUCAGUGGCGAAGGCGGCUUACUGGACCAAAACUGACGCUGAGGCUCGAAAGCGUGGGGAGCAAACAGGAUUAGAUACCCUGGUAGUCC